ACUGAUCACAGAAAUCAAAAGAAAUCAAUCUCUAGAUAAUUACCUGAAGGCUUCACAUCUACUCCUGGCACAUUCUCAACUUUGGGUGCUUUUGGCGCAUCAGCUCUCAUAAGAAUAUCCAUCAUGGCUUGUCUUGGCACCUCUGGGGGAUUUGUGCAACGAAUGAGUGCCCAAUUCACACUCUGAAAGAAUGGAUGUUGUUUUAUUUCAGUAGCUCCUCGCCUAUAGGCAAGACGAUGCUGUGGUUCUUUCACAAGUAAACCUCUGAUCAAGUCCCUAGCAGCAAAACCCACAGGAGGCGAUUCUGGAAAUCUUAAUGGAUGGCCAAUUACAUUAAACAGUGUAGCCCGAUUUCC
rnacentral:misc_RNA from 1 species